UACGAAGGUGACAAGCGUUGUUCGGAUUUACUGGGCGUACAGGGAGCGUAGGCGGUUGGGUAAGCCCUCCGUGAAAUCUCCGGGCCUAACCCGGAAAGUGCGGAGGGGACUGCUCGGCUAGAGGAUGGGAGAGGAGCGCGGAAUUCCCGGUGUAGCGGUGAAAUGCGUAGAGAUCGGGAGGAAGGCCGGUGGCGAAGGCGGCGCUCUGGAACAUUUCUGACGCUGAGGCUCGAAAGCGUGGGGAGCAAACAGG
rnacentral:rRNA from 1 species